rnacentral:lncRNA from 1 species
CUUUAUGUGGGUAUCAAUCGGUCCAAAGGAAGGUUAAUAUUUGGCUGAAUUACAUACACACCUAUGGUGGUAAAUGUGUGACAAUUAUAAGGUUUCCAUGUGAAUAAUAAAUCAAUCCAAAGAUGGUUUCAUUAUUUGACAGGAAUUAUUGUCAAUGUUUGAUCACUGUAUUGAGAAUACCACUAGCAAUUAAUAUUACUGUCCAAAGACUUGAUAUUAAUGUUGCACUAUGUAUCUUGAUAUGAGACUUACCAUUAUUUGAAUUUAUUUUUCAUUUAAUAUGGAUAUGAGCUUGAUUAUUUUUUCAUUUUGUUCUCUCUACAGCUAAUUCAUUUGCUACCACAAUAUCUACUAAUAUCGAUUCAAUUCUCAUGCUUAAUGGGACAAACUUCAAGGAUUGGAUGGAGAACGUAUUGAUUGUUCUUGGCUACAUGGAUUUUGACCUUGCACUUCGGAUUGAGCAACUCACUCCUCUUAUGGAAGAAAGUUCUCCUGAUAAAAGGAGAAACUUUGAGAAGUGGGAUUGUUUAAAUCGCAUGAGUCUAAUGAUCAUUAAGCGCGGCAUUUCGAAAGCCUUUAGAGGUGCAAUAUCCGAAGAGAUAGCUAAUGCUAAGGAGUUCCUUGCCGAAAUUGAGAAAUGUUUUGCGAAAAAUGAUAAGGCUGAAACAAGCAUGCUUUUGCAAAGCUUGAUUUCAAUGAAGUAUAAAGGCAAGGGGAACAUAAGGGAGUACAUCAUGGAGAUGUCUCACAUUGAUUCAAAACUUAAAGGGCUAAAGCUUGAGCUGUCUGAUGACUUGCUCGUGCAUUUGGCAUUGAUCUCGCUUCCUGCACAGUUCAGUCAAUUUAAGGCCAGUUAUAACUGUCAGAAGGAGAAAUUGUCUCUAAAUGAGCUCAUUUCAUAUUGUGUGCAAGAGGAAGAAAGGUUAAAGCAAGAUAGAAUUGAAGUUGCUAACUUGGCAAACACUUCUAAGGAUAAGGACAAGAAAAAGAUGAAGGAAUACGAAGCUGCUCCUAAGAGUCCAGCACAAAAGAAACAAAAAAAAAAAGAUAAAUGAACUUGUUUCUUUUGUAAUAAGGCUGGACAUGUGAAGAAUGUCUAUGCCAAAUAUCAUGCAUGGUGUGCAAAGAAAGGUACAAUUUUUACUUUGGUUUGUUCUGAGAAUAAUUUAGCUUCAGUACCUAGAAACACUUGGUGGAUGGAUUUUGGUGCUACUACUCACAUAAGUGUUUCUAUGCAGGGUUGCCCGAGCUACCGAAAAUCAAGUGAUGGUGAAAGAUAUAUCUAUGUGGGUGAUGGCAAAUCGGUGGAAGUUGAUGCAAUAUGCACUUUUAGGUUAUUAUUGGGAACUGGUUAUUAUUUGAAUUUGCAAGACACUUUUGUUGUGCCAUCUUUUAGACGGAAUUUAAUUUCUAUUUC